rnacentral:lncRNA from 1 species
UAAGUUAGCAAGAAUUAGGUCAAAAUAAUUAUGGAUCCAUGAUGUACGUAGCGAGACCUUUCCAUUGAUAUAAAGUUUGUGCAAUUUGGUGAACAUUUGUUCUUGGACCUAUGAACAUGUGAUGAACAUGAAGAACUUGUGAAAAAUUUCCAGAAUUCUGCUGUAGAUCUUAAUUUCGCGUUUUUGCUGGCUGAUUGUUGUUCGUGGUACUGUAGCGCGCUGGAUUUUGAACAGGAACAUACUUCGAUUCCG